rnacentral:rRNA from 1 species
UGGGGAAUUUUGGACAAUGGGCGAAAGCCUGAUCCAGCAAUGCCGCGUGUGUGAAGAAGGCCUUCGGGUUGUAAAGCACUUUUGUCCGGAAAGAAAUCCUUGGCUCUAAUACAGUCGGGGGAUGACGGUACCGGAAGAAUAAGCACCGGCUAACUACGUGCCAGCAGCCGCGGUAAUACGUAGGGUGCAAGCGUUAAUCGGAAUUACUGGGCGUAAAGCGUGCGCAGGCGGUUUGCUAAGACCGAUGUGAAAUCCCCGGGCUCAACCUGGGAACUGCAUUGGUGACUGGCAGGCUAGAGUAUGGCAGAGGGGGGUAGAAUUCCACGUGUAGCAGUGAAAUGCGUAGAGAUGUGGAGGAAUACCGAUGGCGAAGGCAGCCCCCUGGGCCAAUACUGACGCUCAUGCACGAAAGCGUGGGGAGCAAACAGGAUUAGAUACCCUGGUAGUCCACGCCCUAAAACGAUGUCAACUAGUUGUUGGGGAUUCAUUUCCUUAGUAACGUAGCUAACGGCGUGAAGUUGACCGCCUGGGGAGUACGGUCGCAAGAUUAAAACUCAAAUGAAUUGACGGGG